rnacentral:lncRNA from 1 species
GCUGACUACUGUGCUUUGGCCACUGUGCUGGAUACUUUACCUUUGUUAUCUCUAAUUUCAUAACAAUCAUGUAUGAAAGAAGACAGGAACUGGGAAGCGGACACUCAGAGAGUAAACUGAUUUGAUUGCCUCAAAGCUACAAGAUUUCCUCCUAGGCACUUUUGUCUGAACCACGUGGCACAAAUUGGCAGAGAACAAGGAAAAGAAGAACAGAGGAAGGAGAAAAGGAGAAAAGUCAUUCUGCUGAAAACGAGCUGACUGAGUUGGCUUGGCUGUACAUAGGAGGAAGACCCUGAUCCCUGGUGCUCAACACAGAAAUGCUUCAAUGAUACCCUGAGAUUGUUUUACCUUGCAACACUCUCUGGAAAAUUGCUGCUCCAGGAAUGCGAUGAAAAGAUCUGUAAGAGAGCACAGCCCCUGUUGAUUGACUUGUCUUGAUCAAACCAGAGCUUCUGGCUGGGAUACUGGUAUCUUGAGUGAGUCACAGCAGGAGAUACGUGCUGGAGCUGAAGAGGUUGGAGAGGCAGCAGAAAAGACAUUUACAACCAAGUGACCCCACCUGGACUCACGACUUGUGACUCAACCGGUCCUGCGGUCUCCCACCCAGAGGCAGAGUCAGUGCACGAGGACUGUUUUCCACACCCCUAUGAUUGCAUUCCCAACCAAUCAGAAGCACUUAUUCCCUAUUCCCCUGCCCACCAAAUGAUCCUUGUAAAACCCAAACCUUCAAGUAUUCAGGGAGAAUGAUUUGGGUAAUAACUCCAGCCCUUGUGCUCAGUGGCCUUGCAUUAAUUUAAUUCUUUCCCUAUUGCUAUACCACUGCAAUAGGGAAAGUCUUGGUGAAUAGGUUUUGUGUGUGCAGUGGCAGGAAGAACCUGUCAGUUGAUUACAAUCCCUCCAACCUAGAGAUAACUACUUUUAAAAUUCUUGGAUUAUGUCUAAAUCAUAUCUAUAUAACUCUCUACCUACACAUCCUUGUGUAAACAUGCACAUAUACACACACCCAUAUGCUAUAUAUAUAUAUGCAUCAAGUUUU